rnacentral:lncRNA from 1 species
GAGUGUAGCGGUUAAGUUCACUCACUCUGCUUCAGCAGCCUGGGGUUGGCCAGUUUGGAUCCCAGGUGUGGACCUACGCACCACUUAUCAAGCCAUGCUGUGGCAGGCAUCGAACAUAUAAAAUAGAGGAAGAUGGUCACAGAUGUCAGCUCAGGGCCAAUCUGCCUCCACAAAAAGAAGAGGAUUGUUGGCAGAUGUUAGCUCAGGGCUAAUCUUUCUCCAAAGCAAACAAACCUAAAAAUCUUGAAACCCCCAGCUCACCCUAAGAUUCCCCAGCCAGUGGAGUACGUUACCCUCUGCUGUCUGAGGAGACAUGCUUUCCUUUGCUUGAAAACCCCGUAAUAACCUUAUUUGGAGGCACAUGCCUUGAAAGGGGAUGCUCAUUCUCCUCAAGACCCCACACUCAUCCCUUGUUACCGUUAAUUAGCUUUAUGACUAGGGUCGAUUCCCAGCAUGCUCCAGGGACAGGAAUAUGCUGUGACUUGGGAAGAAAUAACUUACACACUAAACAAAAGCUCAAGCUGAGAGCGGGGCUCGGAGGCCCUGCCUCCUGUUGGUCCCCAAGGCUGCCCCCAGACUGGGGAGGGGCUCUCCAGGUGAUUUUGAUUUGGCUGUCUGGAUGCUGAAGAAUUCCUUUAUUUAUUUAUUUUUAGUCCUUGACGUUCAAUAAUGGCUCACUAUUACUUUGGUUUGAACAGAAGUUCGUUUUAAGAACCUUGAAGACAGAUUUGUGUCCUCCGCAAGUCAAAGUCAAGGCAGCUGCUUCUGGGGGCUGUAGCACCGCUGCUAGAACCAAGAGGAAACAACGUGUCCAAAGCAGAGGGCUUGGUCAGCUGUGAGACGUAUGGAAAAGAGAGCAUCACCAAGGAUCCCUUUAUCUUUUAUCCCAUACCAGCUCUGCCCCCAGGAGUGGGAGAUUUCACCAUCAGACUCCAGAAAUUCUGGUCCCAAAGGCAAGAUGUCCCUACUGUGAGCCUGAUGUUUAAACAUGAAGUUCACCUGACUCCCCCUCUUCUGAUUUCAUGUCCUCAUGGCAAUUUUCUGGUGCCAGUGAAGGGCUGCUCAUGUAGAGAGAGAAUGCAAAAAAAAAAAAAAAAAAAAAAAAAAAAAAUAC